AAUGCAUACGGAUGAAAUAUUAACGUACUAAAAAAUUGUUAGAGAUGUGAUUUGAGGGUAUAUUAAUUUAUAAAAAAACAAUUAAUAAAAGUUUAUUAAUUUAUAUAAUUUUGUUAUAUCGAGAUUAUUAAUUUGUAGGGGAUAGGUGUUUUAUAUUAGAAAGCGUAUCUUUGGAAACCAAUUUCUAAUUUGUCGAACUGAAGAAUGGAAGCAGAGAAGAUGGCGGAGGAGCUGCAAAACGUUGAGGUUGAGAUUCAAGACGUUGAAGACCAGAUAAGGGCAUUGCUGGAGAGGCAAGAGAAGUUGUAUGAGAGGCAAUCGGAACUGACAGCUUUGCUGGAAGCAUGCCCUGUAGCAGUAAAACAUGUCUCCGCUCGAACCACUGUGCAAGUGGAAGACUGGUCAGGACCAUUUGACUGGGAUUCUCGAGCCGAUGAUAUUAGGUUCAAUGUUUUCGGCAUCUCUUCGUAUCGUCCAAAUCAGCGAGAGAUCAUAAAUGCAGUGAUGAGUGGAAGAGAUGUUCUGGUGAUUAUGGCUGCAGGUGGUGGCAAGAGCCUUUGCUACCAGCUUCCCGCGGUCCUUCAUCAAGGAAUUGCUCUUGUUGUCAGUCCUUUGCUUUCUUUAAUUCAAGAUCAGGUAAUGGGUUUGACUGCCUUAGGCAUUCCAGCAUUCAUGCUCACAUCCACUACAAAGAAGGAAGAUGAGAAGUUCAUAUACAAAGCCUUGGAGAAAGGCGAAGGAGACAUCAAAUUGCUGUAUGUCACACCUGAGAAAAUUUCAAAAAGCAAGAGAUUUAUGUCCAAGCUUGAAAAAUGCUACCACGCUGCUCGCCUCUCUCUUAUUUCUAUUGAUGAGGCUCAUUGCUGUAGUCAAUGGGGUCAUGAUUUUCGCCCUGACUACAAAAAUCUUGGUAUACUCAAAACUCAGUUUCCAAAUGUACCUGUAGUGGCUUUGACAGCAACUGCUACACUGAAAGUCCAGAAUGAUCUGACAGAGAUGCUGCGUAUUCCAAAAUGCUUAAAGUUUGUCAGCACUGUCAACCGGCCAAAUCUGUUUUAUAUGGUUCGAGAAAAGUCAUCUGUUGGAAAGGUGGUUAUUGAUGAAAUCACUGAAUAUAUAAAGGAAUCUUAUCCAAAUAAUGAAUCUGGCAUAGUUUAUUGCUUUUCCAGAAAGGAGUGUGAACAGGUUGCAAGUGAGUUAUGUGAGAGAGGAAUAUCAGCUGGUUAUUACCAUGCAGACAUGGAUGUAAAUGCUCGCGAGAAAGUUCACAUGAAAUGGAGCAAAAACAAAUUGCAGGUCAUUGUUGGUACAGUUGCAUUUGGCAUGGGAAUCAACAAGCCUGAUGUCAGGUUUGUCAUCCAUCACAGCCUGAGUAAAUCAAUGGAAACAUAUUACCAGGAAAGUGGCCGAGCUGGAAGAGAUGGACUCCCUUCUGAGUGCCUAAUAUUUUUUAGGCCAGCUGAUGUUCCUAGGCAGAGUUCCAUGGUAUUCUAUGAGAAAUCUGGAUUGCAGAACCUUUAUGACAUAGUUCGAUAUUGUCAGUCAAAAAGACAGUGUCGCCGAGGUGCCUUUUUCCAGCAUUUUGCAGAGCCAUUACAAGAAUGCAAUGGGAUGUGUGACAACUGUGCAUUCUCAAGUGAGGUUAAAGAAGUGAAUGCUUCAUGUGGCAGGGUUCAGGGGUUACUUUCAUAUUGGGAUGUUCUGAAGAGUUUGGUUUGGUGGCUCAGAUAUGGAGGUCAAACAAAACUUAUGAUUUCUCUGGUACAUGAUAUGCAAGAGAACAAUCAAAGAGUAACAAUGUUGCAAUUGGUGGACAGAGCAAAAAAUAAGCAGAAGCAACUAGACUUUGAACUAAAGAGGGAAGAACUGGAACAGCUUGUAGUACAGCUUAUACUAGAUCGUGUUUUGGUAAGAAUUACUGACCCUGUGGACCAUGAAUCCAGAAAGUCAGAUUUGCCUCAGCAUUAAACCCAUCUGAUCUGGCUGCUGACCACAUUAGAAUUUUGUAAUGAUAUGUUUGUUAGCAAUCGGCAAUUUUUUAAACUUAAUAUUCCUUACAAUUCUGCAUGAACUGUAUAAACUUGAUUAGGUAUUUUUGAACCAUACUGCACUCUUGAAAUUGCUCAUUAUUAACUGGAGGUAAAAGUUUUGAUUCAUGCUAAAUUACAUUAGGAAAUCAUGUGCUAUAUGGGUGCCACUACCAAUAGCAGGAAUAUUUCUCUGGAAUGCUCAUUAGGGUUUUCAACUAGUCAGUCACUGUUUUUAAGUCUGAGUUACCACAAGAUAUAGAUGGGUACCUGUUAUUCAACUUGCAGCUGUUGAGUUUUGACAAAUGAGCAAGUGGUUUAAAAUGUUUACAUCAUAAUUCUACUAGCAUGAGAGAGGAGAAUAAAUACUAUACCUUUAAAUUGUGCAAAAUGAAUGAUGUAAAUGUGGGAUAAGCAGUCUUCUAGAUAUUGAAAUAAUGACUGGUUAUCCUGCAUUUGCAGCAUUCAUUCUGCACAAACCGCAAAGAUUCACUUGAAGUUGUGUUGCUGCUUCUUUAUAAUUGGAAAUAUUUGGGCAUACACCCUUGUGUUUCAAUUUUUUAAGAAUGUCUAGUAAUUAUGAACUGACAGUUUCAGUUUAGGGGGAGAAUAGGAAUAAACAAGAACUUAUAGUAAAUAAAACAUUGAUAUUAUGAAGCAAGUUUGCCAAUUGCUACAAUAAUUAAUUGUUGUUGUCCGAUUGUUUGUACUGUAGGGCUUUUACCCCGUUAGGGUGCUGCAGUGGUUCUGAAUGUUGAGAUUUUGCUUUUAAAUGCAAUUUUAUGAUUUUUGUCAGUUUGUUUUUUCUUCUGUUUCCCCCUUUCAUUAUGCAGAAGGAAGAUUUUCAGCAUACAGCUUAUGCUACAAAUGCUUACGUUACAGUAGGACCCUCAGCAAACCAAAUUUUGCAAGGGAAAAAAAUUGUUAAGAUGGAGGUUGCUGGCA